UACAACAUGGUUUACUGAAUAUUUUAAGUCCACUGUUGAGACCUACUGCUCAAAAAAAAAAGAUUCCUUUCAAAAUAUUACUGCUCAUUGACAAUGCACCAAGUUACUGAAGAGCUCUGAGGGAGAUGUGCAAAAGGGUUAAUAUUGUUUUCAUGCCUAACACAGCUAACCAUUCCACAGCCCACAGAUCAAGGAGUAAUUGCAACUUUCAAGUCUUAUUAUUUAAGAAAUACAUUUUGUAAGGGUAGAGCUACCAUAGAUAGUGAUUCCUCUGAUGGAUCUGGGCAAAGUGAAUUGAAAACCUUCUGGAGAGGAUUCACAUUCUAGAUGCUAUUAAGAACAUUUGUGAUUCACGGGAGGAGAUCAAAAUAUCAUCGUGAACAGGAGUUUGGAAGAAGUUGAUUCCCAUCCUCAUGGAUGACUUUAACAGGUUCAAGACUUCAGUGGAGGAAAUAACUGUAGAUAUAGAGGAAAUAGCAAGAGAACUAGAAGUGUAGUUCUCUUGUCUCGUCUUCUCGGAAGAUGUGACAGAAUUGCUGCAUUCUUAUGAUAAAAUUUGAAUGGAUGAGAAGUUACUUCUUAUGGAUGAGUAAAGAAAGUGGUUUCUUGAGAUUAAAUCUACUCCUGGGGAAGAUGCUGUGAAAUUGUUGAAAUAAUAGCAAAGAAUUUAGAAUGUCACAUAAACUUAAUUGAUAAAGCAGUGGCAGAGUUUGAGAGGAUUGACUCUAAUUUUGAGAGUUCUGUGGGUAAAAUGCUAUUAAACAGCAUUGCAUAUCACAGAGAAAUAGUUCAUGAAAGGAAGAAUCAAUUGAUGCAGCAAACCUCAGCGUCUCAUGUUUUAAGAAAUUGCCACAGCCACCCGAGCUUUCAGCAGUUAUCACCCUGAUCAGCCAUGAGUCAGCAGACAUCGAGGCAAGACCCUGCAGCCUCAAAAAGAUUAUGACUCACUGAAGAGUUCUGCAUUUUUUAGCAAUAAAGUAUCUUUUAAUUAAGCAUCAUCCUGAAGCAUAUGUACUGCUGCACUGAGCCAGUCUUCUGAGCUGUUUCACCCAGGAAUGCAUUCAGACCAACUGCAGAAGAACCAAAGAAGUGUCAUAUGGUUAAAGAAUCUAGCCCACACAGAAAGGGAGCUUCUGGUCAGGAGUUCUUCAGAGAGGGUACUAUGCGUAUUUGCUUGGGCCUCAAGGGUCCAGCUACAGGCUCUUUGCCAUCAGUGGUGGAGACCAGUGAUACACAGCAAGGAGCACAUCUUGGAACUACGGAUCCUGACCAUCCUGCCGAAGAAUUCCAGGCCUGGGUAUAGGAGCAUCCCAGAGUAUAGUGAAGAAGCUAUCUGUACUAAACUUGGAGAGGAAGCCGAAUGAUCUGGGAGGAAAGGUAAAAUGAAGAAAUGUCUUAUCAGAUAGCAGGUAUUAUCUCCAGAGAGAGAUAAGAGAGUUGAGAUCACUUCUCUAGGGUAGUUAGAGAAAAUGGCUAACAUGUUAUUGGCCAGAGUUAUUUUUUUUUUUUCUACUAUGUUGAGUUUUUUUUUUUUUUAACUUGUAGGCCCUGUGUAUUUUUCCCUCUUUGUCUGUUUGUCCCUGCCCUUGCAGAUAAAGGAAAACUGCUUUCUGCCCUCCCAUUGUGUGUUCCACAGUAAUAAUGGGAUUUUAAGCUCUAACUUUCAGCAAAUGUCAACCUCAUUAAACUCUGUCUUAUUGUCCCCAGUUCCCCACCCUCCUACAGGCAACAAAUAGUGUCCCAAGGCAAAUACUGUAUCUGGCAGCUUCAUAGGACUCACCUGGAGUCUAGCUCCAGCCAGUAAAGGGUCAAUUCAGCUCUGAAUCUUGGGAGUUUCACACUAUUAAGGAGAACAUUGAGGAGGAGACAGCAAAGAAGAAGUUAGGAAAUGUUGGUGUCUUUUUGUAUUUCUCUAAAUGAACCUCGUCAUUAAAAUCUCUGCCUACCUUUCAUUUAAUCUCUAUUGCCUAUUCCACUUUUAACCUGUUCCUCUAAGCAUACCACUUUAACCUGGAUUAUGAUUCUUUUCUUUCUUCACUUCUUUGCCUUAAAAUUGUUUUUUGUUUUUGUUUUUAAAUCCUGCUACUCUCAUGUUACCUUGUAUGGUUCAGUUUCUCCCUUCUAAUACUGCCAACUUCCUUAACCCAGACCUCUUAGCCCAAAGACAGGAGAAUGUUUUUCUAUAUUGAAGCCAAUAGAAAACUAUUAAAAGGCUACAUGCAAUAAAUAAAUUUUCAAAUGUACAUUUUUUAAAUGAGCGUAGGAAACAUAAAACUUUAGUAGGUGCAUGCUUACUGGGAAAGCACGCAUACGUGCUAAGAUGCCAUUAUACUGAAAGUAUUGUUUACCACUUGUUUUUUAAUUUAAUAUUACAUUACGGAUAUCUUUUCAAGUUACAUAUAAUACCUAUAUGUAGCUGAUAUACAUUUCACUGCAAGGGUAUUGAAUUAUUUUGUAACUGGCCUUAGAGGGUUUUCACAUGGCUUCUUUUUUCUGUUUUUUUUUUUUUUUAAUACUACCAACUAAAAGCCAUGAACUCUUUUCUUUUUCUUUUUUUCUUCACUCUGUACUAUGAAAAAAGUUUAAGCAUAUAUAAAAGUAGAAUUGUACUACUUUUAAUAAAUCCCCAUGAACCUGUCACCCAGCUUCACCAUUAUCAGAUUAUGGCCCAUCUUGUUUCACUUAUAACUCUACUUAUAUCCCAUGCUUUUUUAUACAUAUAAUUUUAAAGCGUAUCUGAGAUAUCAUAGUCUUUCAAAUGUAAAUGUUUCAAUAUUUGCUGUAAAAGGUAUGAAUUUUAAAAAUGUAAACAUAAUACUAUUUUCAUACCUAAACAAUUAACAGUAAUUCUUUAAUAUCAAUUUUCUAGUUUUCUCAAAGAUGUCAUAAACUUUUUUUUGUUCAUUUUGUUUUUUAACUUAUCUGAAUCAAGAUCCAAGGAAGAAAACACAUUGUGAUGGGUUGAUAUGUCUCCUAAGUUUCUUUUAAUGUAUGGGUACCCUCUCCUGUUUUCUCUUCUGUUACAACUCACUUGUUAAAGAAAAUGAAGUUGUUUGUCCUGUAGAGUUGCACACAGCAUGGGUUUUGCUGUCUGCAUCAUGUGCUGUAGUCUACGAUGUUCUGUUGUCCUCUGUAUUUUCUGUAAAUUGUAGUAAUGUACAGGCUUGAUUAAAAUCAAGUUUUAAGUUUUUUUGACCAGGUAAA